rnacentral:lncRNA from 1 species
UCGAUAAUCCCCUCAUGGGAAAACCUUUCCCCGCGUUAGGAACUAAUAUCUUUUUAACGUUUAAUUAGAUCGGAUAAUCAUUCAAAUUAAGAACCGAAGCUCGUUACUUUUUGUUUCCCUAUAAUUGGAACCCUAGGGCUCUAUCCAUUUAUUAACUCGACCCAACUCUUAAUAAUUAUAUUUAUUUUGUUCCGCGCCAAGAAUUCAAACUUGGUUUUAUAGCGAUUGAACAAGAAUAAAAUAUUCUCAAAAUUAUCCAUUGAUACGACAUGCUGUUUUUUCCAUUCAUUCCUUUCAGGAUCAGUCGCAGUCUUACAAACUCUCCCGAAGAUUUGGACGAAUUCUUUGCUUCAUAGAAAUGUGUAAAAGAUGCUAGCCGUACUUAAAAGCCGAGUACUCUACCGUUGAGUUAGCAACCCAAAUAAUUCGAAUGGGUAGAUAGAAUCGGAAUAAAAAAAAAUAAAAAAAAAAAAAAGGAAUUUCAAAACGGAAUCAAAAAAUGAAAUUAGCAAGAACUCGAAUCAAAAAAAUUUCUAAUCGAUUUUGAACAUAAAAAAAAGACAACCAAAACCUAUGGAACGGAGAUAAAUGGGCCCAUUUCUCCAUGAGAAAAUUAUAUUUGUUCACUACAAUAUUGUCAAUAUGACAUUGAAUAUUGAAUAGCAAGAUUGAGAAAAUACUAAAAACAUACAAUAACAAAAACAAAAAGAGUUAAUUGGUUAUUUAUUAAAUUGAAUUCAAA